rnacentral:rRNA from 1 species
AGCGAACGCUGGCGGCAGGCCUAACACAUGCAAGUCGAACGAACUCUUCGGAGUUAGUGGCGGACGGGUGAGUAACACGUGGGAACGUGCCUUUAGGUUCGGAAUAACUCAGGGAAACUUGUGCUAAUACCGAAUGUGCCCUUCGGGGGAAAGAUUUAUCGCCUUUAGAGCGGCCCGCGUCUGAUUAGCUAGUUGGUGAGGUAAAGGUUCACCAAGGCGACGAUCAGUAGCUGGUCUGAGAGGAUGAUCAGCCACAUUGGGACUGAGACACGGCCCAAACUCCUACGGGAGGCAGCAGUGGGGAAUCUUGCGCAAUGGGCGAAAGCCUGACGCAGCCAUGCCGCGUGAAUGAUGAAGGUCUUAGGAUUGUAAAAUUCUUUCACCGGGGACGAUAAUGACGGUACCCGGAGAAGAAGCCCCGGCUAACUUCGUG